AACGCUAGCUACAGGCUUAACACAUGCAAGUCGAGGGGUAACGAGAGGGAAGCUUGCUUUCCUUGUCGACGACCGGCGCACGGGUGAGUAACGCGUAUCCAACCUGCCCCCAACUAGGGAAUAACCUUGCGAAAGUAAGACUAAUACCCUAUAAUUUCCUCAGAUGUCAUCUGACGAGGAAUAAAGAUUUAUCGGUUGUGGAUGGGGAUGCGUCUGAUUAGCUUGUUGGCGGGGUAACGGCCCACCAAGGCAACGAUCAGUAGGGGUUCUGAGGGGAAGGUCCCCCACAUUGGAACUGAGACACGGUCCAAACUCCUACGGGAGGCAGCAGUGAGGAAUAUUGGUCAAUGGGCGAAAGCCUGAACCAGCCAAGUAGCGUGCAGGAUGACGGCCCUAUGGGUUGUAAACUGCUUUUAUACAGGAAUAAAGUUAGCCACGUGUGGUUAUUUGUAGGUACUGUAUGAAUAAGGACCGGCUAAUUCCGUGCCAGCAGCCGCGGUAAUACGGAAGGUCCAGGCGUUAUCCGGAUUUAUUGGGUUUAAAGGGAGCGUAGGCCGUCUGUUAAGCGUGUUGUGAAAUGUAGAUGCUCAACAUCUGAAUUGCAGCGCGAACUGGCAGACUUGAGUGUGCGCAACGUAGGCGGAAUUCGUGGUGUAGCGGUGAAAUGCUUAGAUAUCACGAAGAACUCCGAUUG
rnacentral:rRNA from 1 species